rnacentral:rRNA from 1 species
GGGUUGUGAGGUUAAGCGAAUAAGCGUACACGGUGGAUGCCUAGGCAAUCAGAGGCGAUGAAGGACGUGCUAAUCUGCGAAAAGCGUCGGUAAGGUGAUAUGAACCGUUAUACCCGACGAUAUCCGAAUGGGGAAACCCAGUAUCCAAUGGAUACUAUCAUUAACUGAAUCCAUAGGUUAAUGAGGCGAACCGGGAGAACUGAAACAUCUCAGUACCCCGAGGAAAAGAAAUCAACCGAGAUUCCCCUAGUAGCGGCGAGCGAACGGGGAGCAGCCCAGAGUCUUAAUCAAUAACAGUGUCAGGAGAACGGUCUGGAAAGUCCGGCAGUAAAGGGUGAUAGCCCCGUAUCUGAAGAUGCUGUUGUUGUGAACUCGACGAGUAGGGCGGGACACGUGUUAUCCUGUCUGAAUAUGGGGGGACCAUCCUCCAAGGCUAAAUACUCCUGAUUGACCGAUAGUGAACCAGUACCGUGAGGGAAAGGCGAAAAGAACCCCGGCGAGGGGAGUGAAAAAGAACCUGAAACCGUGUACGUACAAGCAGUAGGAGCCCCAUCACUCAAGUGCCUCGCACUGAGUGAUGCAAGAACAUCACCGAAAAUAGCGCCGAAUUUGCUAACAAGGUUGGUCGAUUUUUUCAAGCCGUCGCGCAGUGUACCUAGAAGUACACGAGCAACGGAAGUUAAAAAAUCGGGCAAGAUUGAACGCAAAGGCAAGCGGGACAUUUGAGGAUGGGGUGACUGCGUACCUUUUGUAUAAUGGGUCAGCGACUUAUAUUCUGUAGC